GAGCUCCUUUGGUAGCACACAUACUAAAAUUGACAUGAUAUACAGAAGAUUAGUGCAGUCCCUGUGCUAGAAUGAUAUGAGGUUCAUGAAGUAGUCCAUGCAUUA